rnacentral:rRNA from 1 species
UGGGGAAUAUUGCACAAUGGGCGCAAGCCUGAUGCAGCCAUGCCGCGUGUAUGAAGAAGGCCUUCGGGUUGUAAAGUACUUUCAGCGGGGAGGAAGGGAGUAAAGUUAAUACCUUUGCUCAUUGACGUUACCCGCAGAAGAAGCACCGGCUAACUCCGUGCCAGCAGCCGCGGUAAUACGGAGGGUGCAAGCGUUAAUCGGAAUUACUGGGCGUAAAGCGCACGAAGGCGGUUUGUUAAGUCAGAUGUGAAAUCCCCGGGCUCAACCUGGGAACUGCAUCUGAUACUGGCAAGCUUGAGUCUCGUAGAGGGGGGUAGAAUUCCAGGUGUAGCGGUGAAAUGCGUAGAGAUCUGGAGGAAUACCGGUGGCGAAGGCGGCCCCCUGGACGAAGACUGACGCUCAGGUGCGAAAGCGUGGGGAGCAAACA